CCUACGGGUGGCAGCAGUGGGGAAUAUUGCACAAUGGGGGAAACCCUGAUGCAGCGAUGCCGCGUGGAGGAAGAAGGUUUUCGGAUUGUAAACUCCUUUUAUCAGGGACGAUAAUGACGGUACCUGAAGAAAAAGCUCCGGCUAACUACGUGCCAGCAGCCGCGGUAAUACGUAGGGAGCGAGCGUUGUCCGGAAUAACUGGGUGUAAAGGGAGCGUAGGCGGGACGGCAAGUCAGAUGUGAAAACUGAGGGCUCAACCUUCAGACUGCAUUUGAAACUGCUGUUCUUGAGUGAAGUAGAGGUAAGCGGAAUUCCUAGUGUAGCGGUGAAAUGCGUAGAUAUUAGGAGGAACAUCGGUGGCGAAGGCGGCUUACUGGGCUUUUACUGACGCUGAGGCUCGAAAGCGUGGGGAGCAAACAGGAUUAGAUACCCCAGUAGUC
rnacentral:rRNA from 1 species